GACGAACGCUGGCGGCGUGCUUAACACAUGCAAGUCGAACGGAAAGGCCCCUUUGGGGGUACUCGAGUGGCGAACGGGUGAGUAACACGUGAGUAACCUGCCCUUGACUUCGGGAUAACUUCAGGAAACUGGGGCUAAUACCGGAUAGGAAUCCUUGCUGCAUGGUGGGGGUUGGAAAGCUUCGGCGGUUUUGGAUGGACUCGCGGCUUAUCAGCUUGUUGGUGGGGUAGUGGCUUACCAAGGCUUUGACGGGUAGCCGGCCUGAGAGGGCGACCGGCCAAAUUGGGACUGAGAGAGGGCCCAGACUCCAACGGGGGGGAGCAGUGGGGAAUUUUGCAAAAUGGGCGGAAGCCUGAUGCAGCAACCCCGGGUGCGGGAUGACGGCCUUCGGGUUUUAAACCGUUUUCAGCGGGGGGAAAGCUUUGGGGGAGGGUACCGGCAAAAGAAGCACCGGUAAAUUACGG
rnacentral:rRNA from 1 species